rnacentral:rRNA from 1 species
GAUGAACGCUGGCGGCGUGCUUAACACAUGCAAGUCGAACGGAAAGGCUCCUGUUUGCCGGGGUUCUCGAGUGGCGAACGGGUGAGUAACACGUGGGUGAUCUGCCCUGCACUUCGGGAUAUGCCUGGGCAACUGGGUCUAAUACAGGCGAGGACGAUGGGUGGGAUGCCAUUGUGGAAAGUUUUUCGGUGUGGGAUGAGCUCGCGGGCUAUCAGCUUGUUGGGGGGUUAAUGGCCAACCAGGGGGUCGGCUGAUAACCGGCCCGGGGGGUGAUACGCCCUCAUUGGUACUAAGAGACGGCCCAGUCUCGUAUGGGAGGCAGCAGGCGGGAGUAUUGCACAAUGAGGGCAAGCCUGAUGCGGCGACGCCGCGUGGGGGAUGACGGCCUUCGGGUGGUAAACUGCUGUCACUAGGUACGAAGCUCAAGUGACGGUACCUGGAGAAGAAGCACCGGCUAACUACGUG